UUCGAGUGGCGGACGGGUGAGUAACGCGUGGGUAACCUGCCUUACACAGGGGGAUAACACCUGGAAACAGGUGCUAAUACCGCAUAAGCGCACAGGGCCGCAUGGCCCCGGUGUGACAAACUCCGGUGGUGUAAGAUGGACCCGCGUCUGAUUAGCUUGUUGGCGGGGUAGGGGCCCACCAAGGCGACGAUCAGUAGCCGGCCUGAGAGGGUGGACGGCCACAUUGGGACUGAGACACGGCCCAAACUCCUACGGAAGGCAGCAG
rnacentral:rRNA from 1 species